rnacentral:rRNA from 1 species
UUUUAAAUUUAGAGUUUGAUCCUGGCUCAGGACGAACGCUGGCGGCGUGCUUAACACAUGCAAGUCGAGCGAUGAAACUUCCUUCGGGAAGUGGAUUAGCGGCGGACGGGUGAGUAACACGUGGGUAACCUGCCUCAAAGUGGGGGAUAGCCUUCCGAAAGGGAGAUUAAUACCGCAUAAUAUAAGAGAAUCGCAUGAUUUUCUUAUCAAAGAUUUAUUGCUUUGAGAUGGACCCGCGGCGCAUUAGCUAGUUGGUAAGGUAACGGCUUACCAAGGCAACGAUGCGUAGC